GUCAGCAGCUAUAUCACCCUUCAACUUACAACUGGCAACCCACUGAACUUAAGCAGGUGUGAGCCUGGCUAGUACCUGGAUGGGAGUUCUCCUGGGAAAGCUAGGGUUGCUACUGGAA
rnacentral:rRNA from 1 species